GACGAACGCUGGCGGCAUGCCUAAUACAUGCAAGUCGAACGCCAAAUCUUCCUGCUUGCAGGAAGAGGCGGAGUGGCGAACGGGUGAGUAACACGUGAGGAACUUGCCCAUAAGAGGGGGAUAACACCCGGAAACGGGUGCUAAUACCGCAUAAGUUUUCCCAGUGCAUGCUGGGAAAAUGAAAGGUGGCUCUGCUACCGCUUAUGGAUAGCCUCGCGGCGCAUUAGCUAGUUGGUAGGGUAAAGGCCUACCAAGGCCAUGAUGCGUAGCCGACUUGAGAGGGUGAUCGGCCACACUGGAACUGAGACACGGUCCAGACUCCUACGGGAGGCAGCAGUAGGGAAUCUUCCACAAUGGGUGCAAGCCUGAUGGAGCAAUGCCGCGUGAGUGAAGAAGGACUUCGGUUCGUAAAGCUCUGUUGUUGGGGAAGAACACGGAUAGGAGUCACUGCCUAUCCCUUGACGGUACCCAACCAGAAAGUCACGGCUAACUACGUG
rnacentral:rRNA from 1 species